GGUAGCUCAGCUGGAUAGAAACGAUCUUCUAAGCCGUCGGUCGGGAGUUCGAAUCUCUCCCG
rnacentral:tRNA from 1 species